GCGGGCCCGCCAGCGUUGCUGGCCGCCGGGGGGCGACUCGCCCCCGGGCCCGUGCCCGCCGGAGACCCCAACAUGAACCCUGUUCUGAAAGCUUGCAGUCUGAGUGUGAUUCUUUGCAAUCAGUUAAAACUUUCAACAAUGGAUCUCUUGGUUCCGGCAUCGAUGAAGAACGCAGCGAAAUGCGAUAACUAAUGUGAAUUGCAGAAUUCAGUGAAUCAUCGAGUCUUUGAACGCACAUUGCGCCCCCUGGUAUUCCGGGGGGCAUGCCUGUCCGAGCGUCAUUGCUGCCCUCAAGCCCGGCUUGUGUGUUGGGCCCUCGUCCCCCGGCUCCCGGGGGACGGGCCCGAAAGGCAGCGGCGGCACCGCGUCCGGUCCUCGAGCGUAUGGGGCUUCGUCUUCCGCUCCGUAGGCCCGGCCGGCGCCCGCCGACGCAUUUAUUUGCAACUUGUUUUUUCCAGGUGACCUCGGAUCAGGUAGGGAACCCCACC
rnacentral:rRNA from 1 species